GAUGAACGCUGGCGGCGUGCCUAAUACAUGCAAGUCGAACGAGUUUUGGUCGAUGAACGGUGCUUGCACUGAGAUUCGACUUAAAACGAGUGGCGGACGGGUGAGUAACACGUGGGUAACCUGCCCUUAAGUGGGGGAUAACAUUUGGAAACAGAUGCUAAUACCGCAUAAAUACCAAGAACCGCAUGGUUCUUGGCUGAAAGAUGGCGCAAGCUAUCGCUUUUGGAUGGACCCGCGGCGUAUUAGCUAGUUGGUGGGGUAACGGCCUACCAAGGCAAUGAUACGUAACCGAGUUGAGAGACUGAUCGGCCACAAUGGGACUGAGACACGGCCCAUACUCCUACGGGAGGCAGCAGUAGGGAA
rnacentral:rRNA from 1 species